rnacentral:lncRNA from 1 species
CUGGGCCCCUCAGUCUGCUCAUGUCUUCGCCUGCAGCACCAUCUUCCAGGGCUCUGCAGUGUGUGUGUACAGCAUGAACGACGUGCGCCGGGCCUUCCUGGGGCCCUUUGCACACAAGGAAGGGCCCAUGCACCAGUGGGUGUCCUACCAGGGCCGUGUCCCCUACCCCCGGCCUGGCAUGGUGCGUAGCCCCAGGAGUCCCACCACAACCCACUUAAAGUCUCAGGGGUGGAAAACUUGGCCUGGGAUCUUCUUGGUGAAUGUGUUUUUUUCCUUCCGUUAUGGGUGGGAAAACAUCACCUUUGUCAGACAGGGCUCCUCAGAGGAAGGGCAUAUUUCCCCCUAAGAGUCCCAAGGGCAAGUCUGGGUCUUCUCUCUUCAGAUUCUCAGGGCAGACCUCUGUCCAUUAGCACUCCUCUAUACUCGGGUACCUGGAGGUCUCUUGUGGACCCACCAGGCCCUCGUACCCACAUCCCUGUCGUGCCUCCUCCCCACCUGCCCAGUGUCCCAGCAAGACCUUUGGCACCUUCAGUUCUACCAAGGACUUUCCUGAUGACGUCAUUCAAUUUGCCCGGAACCACCCCCUCAUGUACAAUUCGGUCCUGCCCAUGGGUGGUCGCCCUCUCUUCAUACAAGUGGAUGCCGGGUACACCUUCACCCAGAUCACUGCAGACCGUGUAGCAGCUGCUGACGGACACUACGACGUCCUCUUCAUUGGCACAGGUCAGUGUCCUGCCAUGACUACCCAUAAAACUCUGUCCAGACUCUCUUCCACCUGUCAGCAGAAGCUGCCCCUGCCCAGUCCCAUCUUCACAUCUUUGCCUGGGUUGUGCUCUCAUCUCCUUCUGGAUGCUGGUCUGAUUGUUCCAACCCACAUUCUUCACCUAUCCAACCAUGCUAAGGGUAAAGGCCUCAGAAGUGAGGAGAUCCCCAGCCCUAGCUGCCAGGAAACACAAGGAAUCACUCAUUCCUCAUCCCUGCAGACGCUGGCACAGUGCUGAAGGUGAUCUCCGUCCCCAAGGGCAGCCAGCCUAACGGGGAGGGGCUGCUCUUGGAGGAGCUGCACGUUUUUGAGGUGAGGCCUAGCCCCCUCCUCCUAGAGGAACCCUACCCCAUUGAUCUCUGAUCCCAGCGCUCGCUCCUCCUCCUCCUCCUCUCAGGAUUCAUCUGCUAUCACCAGCAUGCAAAUCUCUUCCAAGAGGGUAAGUGACCAAAAGGCUUGGGAGCAGAAGGGACCCAGUGUGUUCCCCGGGCACCCCUACCCCCACACCUCCCUUGGUAGUUUGAAGCACUGGGUUUGAGUAUAGGUUCUGCCUUUGCUAGACUGCGUGACCUGAGACCCUGAUCAGUGUCAAGUGGGGUGAGGGAUCCCUGACCAAUGGGAGGCGGGCACAGGGCUGCCUUCGGUCAGCCCGGAGCCCCUCGUGCCCCCUAGCACCAGCUGUACAUAGCUUCGCGGAGCGCGGUCGCCCAGAUCCCGUUGCACCUCUGUGCUGCCCACGGCCGCGCCUGUGCGGAAUGCUGCCUUGCGCGCGACCCUUACUGCGCCUGGGACGGGGCCGCGUGCACGCGCUUUCAGCCCAGCGCUAAAAGGUGGGCAGGGUUGGGGGCGGGCCACCUGGAAUCAUUUGCAGCACCUGGCUAAAUGAAGAAGGACUCACCGAGGCUCUAAUGUACCAAUGCAACCCCCACCCUGCAGGCGGUUCCGGCGGCAAGACGUGAGGAAUGGCGACCCCAGCACGCUGUGCUCCGGCGGUGAGUGCCCCCAGCUGCCCCACUUCUGGGCCUUUGAAGACGCCCCACCCUGCCCUGCCUGAAUCUGACAUUCCUUUGCCCUCCCCAGAUUCCUCUCAUCCCGCACUGCUGGAGCGGAAGGUGUUCGGUGUGGAGGGCGGAAGCGCCUUCCUGGAGUGUGAGCCCCGCUCGCUGCAGGCGCGCGUGGAAUGGACCUUCCAGCGCGCAGGGGAGGCGACCCACACCCAGGUGAGCCUCACGCCCUCCCUUCCCAAACAAGCCCUUGUCCCGCCCCCUACAUCCAGGAGAGCCCCGCCUUGCCAGUGUGGUUCCCACUUCUAGACUAGGUCCGACCCCGCCCAGUGAGACUCUGUCCAGCUAGACCCCUUACGUCCAGUUUGGUCCCUUACCUGAACUCCACGUUCUGGUGAGGCCCCAUUCCAUCUAACUAGACUCCUGACACCCCCCUCCCCCAUCCGAGAGGAGCCCCGCCCAUUGAGGCCCCCGCCCCGCCCCCAUGUUCAGGUAACCCCUCCCCCCCCCCACCUCCAGUCCAGUCCCGUCCGGUCUCGUCCGGUCCGGUAAGAGUUUCCGCUUUUAGACCACUGGUCCCAGUGCACCCAACCUUCAAAGGUACACCUGCGAGAGUCCCUUACCUGCUCAUGCUUGGCCACCGUUGACCCUCUACCUCUCCUGGCCCGACCUGGGAGCCGGGUUUCCUUGUUCCUGACACCGAUGCCUUUGCCUCCCACUGGCCCCGCCUGCAGGUAGCUAUGGAGGAGCGCGCGGAGCGCCUUACGGGGGGACUGCUGCUGCGCGGACUGAGGCGCGGGGAUUCUGGCGUGUACCUGUGCGCAGCUGUGGAGCAGGGCUUUUCGCAGUCGCUGCGUCGCCUGGUGCUACACGUGCUGAGUGCUGCGCAGGCCGAAAGGCUGGCCCGGACCGAGGAGGCUGUGCCCGUAGCCCCUCCAGGCCCCAGGCUCUGGUACCGGGACUUCCUGCAGCUGGUGGAGCCGGGCGGCGGUGGCGCGAGUUCCCUGCGAAUGUGUCGUCUGCAGCCUGAGUCGCGCCCACCGCCUCCCGAGUCACGGAGGAAGGGCCGAAACCGGCGAAGGCACGCCCCAGAGCCGCGUGCUGAGCGGGGGCCGCGCAGCGCAGCGCACUGGUGAUUCGGCAGUCCACGCCGGGUACAGGGAAGGAGGCUACAGGCAGGACAGGGGGAGGACAGACCGUGGAGGACGCACAGCUAGGGGGCCUGGCACAUUGGUCCCUGGUUGAUGGAGACACCGACCUACAGGCCCUGGCUGAGGGGCAGCCUCCCCGGCUUAUUUAUUA